AGGGAAUAUUGCGCAAUGGGGGAAACCCUGACGCAGCAACGCCACGUGAGUGAGGAAGGCCUUCGGGUUGUAAAGCUCUGUCAUUAGGGAAAAAUGGCGAUCGGGAUAAUAGUCCGGUCGUUUGAUGGUACCUAAGGAGGAAGCACCGGCUAACUUCGUGCCAGCAGCCGCGGUAAUACGAAGGGUGCAAGCGUUGUUCGGAAUUAUUGGGCGUAAAGAGUGAUAAGGCGGAUCUUCAAGUCGGUUGUGAAAUCUCGGGGCUUAACCCCGAAAGUGCGGCCGAAACUAGAGAUCUGGAGUGAUGUAGGGGAGAGGGGAAUUUCACGUGUAGGGGUAAAAUCCGUAGAGAUGUGAAGGAACACCUGAGGCGAAGGCGCCUCUCUGGGCAUUAACUGACGCUGAUUCACGAAAGCGUGGGGAGCAAAC
rnacentral:rRNA from 1 species